CACGGCACGAGAUUUUAAGCACAGCUUUAUCUCGUCACAUUACUUUAGCUAACCGUAAAGCUGGCAGUAUACUCGUUCUCACGGCAUGGUGAUUCUGGAUGAAUCCAUGAUUGGUGCAAUCGGAAUAAACUGCCAGUUGAAUUAAAGAA